GUGAUCACAUUAAACCCUUUAUACUUCACAGUCGUGUGGUUUGUCAUCGGUAUGUGUUCUCAUGUGCCUCUGUAAACUGCUAUGCCGAUUAAACCGUUGAUCACAUAAAUCACACUCGUGAGGUUUAUCACCUGAAUGUAUAGUCAUAUGUCUCUUUAAAGUAGUUUGCUGACUAAACUGUUAAUCGAAUUCAUCACAAACAUGAGUUUUGUCUCCAGUAUGCUUUUUCAUGUGUUUAAUUAAGAUACUACCUUGGGAAAAUUCUGUAUCACAAGCAUCACAUUUAUAAGGGUUUUUCACAAAUAUGUGAUUUCAUGUGUUUCUGUAAAUGACCACGCUGAUUAAACCGUCUGUCACAUAAAUCACACUCAUGAGGUUUAUCACCUGUAUGUAUAGGCAUGUGUGUCUUUAAAGAACGUUGUACACUAAACACUUUACCACAUACAGUACAAAUGUAGAGUUUGCCACUGGUAUGUAUUUUCAUGUGACUUUGUAAAAAACGAAACUGACUGAAAUGUUCACCACAUACAUGACAGUCAUGAGAUUUAUCAUCUGUAUGUGUUCUCAUGUGCCUCUGUAAACUGCUAUACUGAUUAAACAGUUGAUCACAUAAAUCACACUUAUGAAGUUUAUCACCUGUAUGUAAACGCAUAUGGCUCUUUAAAGUAGCAUACAGACUAAAUCGUUUACCACAUAUAUCACAUGCAAGAGGUUUAUCACCUGUAUGUUUUCUCAUGUGAUUUUGUAAAUAACGAGGACGACUGAACUGUUCACCACAUACAUCACAGACAUGAGGUUUUUUGUCUGCAUGUGUUCUCAUGUGACUCUGUAAAGUACUAUACUGAUUAAACCGUCGAUCACAUAAAUCACACUUAUGAGGUUUAUCACCUGUAUGUAUACGCAUAUGUCUCUUUAAAUUAGCAUGCUGGCUAAACCGUUUACCACAUAAAUCACAGGCAUGAGGUUUAUCGCCUGUAUGUGUUCUCAUGUGACUCUGUAAAUUACUGUACUGCUUAAAUCUUUUAUCACAAAAAUCACAUUUUCGAAGUUUAUCACUUGAAUGUUUUAUCAUGUGUCUCUUUAAAUUACCAAGCUGACUAAACUGGUUACCGCUGUCAUCACAAACAUUAUUUCCAGUAUGCUUUUUCAUGUGUUUAAUUAAGAUACUACCUUGGGAAAAUUCUUUAUCACAAACAUCACAUUUAUAAGGUUUUUCACAAAUAUGUGUUUUCAUGUGUCUCUGUAAAUGACCACGCUGAUUAAACCGUCUGUCACAUAAAUCACACUUAUGAGGUUUAUCACCUGUGUGUAUAGUCAGGUGUGUCUUCAAAUAACUAUGCUUACUAAACCGUUUACCACAUACAUCACACUUAUGAAAUUUAUCACUUGUAUGCAAACGCAUAUGUCUCUGUAAAGUAUCUGGCAGUCUAAACCCUUUACCACAUAUAUUACAGUCGUGAGUUUUUUCGACAGUAUGUAUUCUCAUGUGACUUUCUAAAUAACGAGACUGGCUGAACCAUUCACCACAUAAAUCACAGUCAUGACGUUUUUUGUCUGUAUGUGUUCUCAUGUGACUCUGUAAAGUACUAUACUG
rnacentral:lncRNA from 1 species